GCAACAUGGUUGUGGAAGCGGGAGGCAAAAAUGGGGUUGUUCCUGCAGAUGAAACUACAUUUAAGUACCUUGAGGGUAAGACUCCUAUGACACAUGAACCUGUAUACAGUGAUCAAAAUGCCAGUUUUAUCCACGAUUACAAAAUUGAUGUCUCUAAGUUGGAGCCAUUAGUCGCAAAGCCCCAUUCUCCUGAUAAUCGUGCUUUGGCAAGAGAAUGCAAAGAUGUAAAGAUUGACAGGGUAUAUAUAGGCUCCUGUACCGGUGGGAAGACGGAGGAUUUUAUGGCUGCUGCAAAGGUUUUUCAAGCUUCG
rnacentral:misc_RNA from 1 species